UUAUAAUCUAGAAGUAUAAUAUUAGGGGCGGAUGUAGCCAAGUGGAUCAAGGCAGCCAUGCGCGGGUUCAAUUCCCGUCGUUCGCC
rnacentral:tRNA from 1 species